rnacentral:rRNA from 1 species
GACAGAGGCCUCGAGCGUUAGGCGGAAUCACUGGGCUUAAAGCGUGUGUAGGCGGAUCGUUAAGUACCUUGUGAAAUCCCACGGCUCAACCGUGGAACGGCUGGGUAUACUGGCGGUCUUGAGCAGCCUAGGGGCGACCGGAACAAACGGUGGAGCGGUGAAAUGCGUAGAUAUCGUUUGGAACGCCGAUGGUGAAAACAGGUCGCUGGGGGCUUGCUGACGCUGAGACACGAAAGCCAGGGGAGCAAACGGG